UUUCCGACAUUUUAAAAACAAAUUAAAUUUUCUCUGGGAUUUUUUCGAAUCUUGUUCCUUUUUUACUUUUCAUGUAUGUCUUGGUCUUCUCAGUCGUAAAAAAUUCGUGCUACGAGUAGAUAAAAGCGUUGGUUGUCUUAAUGGGCUCCAAACGUAUCAUAAAUUGGACCAAGUAAAAGCCAUAAACAUGACAGAUAAUUUAGAUAUUGACAAAGACGCAGAGGUGUAUACGCCUGAAUCCGAGUCAUACACACUUGAAAAUGAAGUGGAAAGACGGAAUAAAGAGGGGAAAAAAUCAAAACUGAAUAAAAGUUUUCAAAAUGACUUUCCGAUUUUAGACAAAACUCCAAAUCCCCUUGCAGAUGAGGGGACAGAUCACAGACUGACUAGUAACGAAUAUCCAAAAGUUCAGCCAGACGUUUCAGAACCUACGAACGAACAGCUAAAAAUUGAUCCUUCGAUAGAAGUUCGUUCUCAGACAGCGGAUGGAGUAACCAUUAAUGUUGGUCAAGUUGACACUCUGAGACAAGUUAUUCUUAAUACAGGACCGAGCCAACAUCAACCACACGAUACUAUUCCGAGCAAUGUGAGAUAUUUCCAAUUGUAUGUGUGCACUGGGGUCACAGGAUUUGGUAUUUUGUAUUAUAAUUCUCAUUUACUUUCGGAAUCAUGUAGCUUGUUAAAGAAUAAUGUGACAUUGUCUCUUCAGUCGGAAGCAUUUCAGUCUGCAUUGCGAAGGGCUUGUUUUAGUAACUCCAUGGUAUUUCCGUUAAUUUUAUUUAUUGCAUUAGUUGUUAUGAUAGUUUUCGUGAUUCCAGCAUACUUCUGGGAUAGAACCAGAAACCAUCAUCUUUGAUUACACCUGCAUUUAGUUAUCUUUAAACCUAGCAGUGUAACAAAUAUUGCACAUGAAAAUGAUGAAGGAUUUAUGGUACAUGUUAUUCAGAUUAUAGGCGUUUCAAUUUU